AAUAAUAAAAGAAAAAUAUAGAGUGAAAAGAAGAAAAGAGAAAGAAAGUAGUAGUAAAAGGAGACCACGAGCAAGAGGAGCGAGGAUAGGAAUACACAAGCUGGCUCGUCUUAAAGUGCCAUAAUUAGGUCAAAGGUCAGACUUGUUGUGGAGAGGCCAAGGAAGUCAGUCAGCCAUUCAGUGAUUCCGCCAUUGUCAGGCGGUCUCCAAUUUGUCUGCCAUUAGUCAUCCAGCCAGCAAGCAGGUAUCGCCAGUCAGUCUGUCAGUCUACGAAUCAACCAGCCAGUUAGCUUAGUAAACUCUAGUAUUAAGAGUAUGAGAGAAAAAUAAGAAGCAAGCACCUAACUGUUGGAUUGAGAAAUAGCACGAAAACGAAUACCGAAUUGAUCCCUUUUUUGGCCGCUCAUUCCUGUUUGCUUUAAUAGGAGCAGUGCUGAGCGAGCUUAUUUUUUCUUUUUUUCCUGAGCUGUUUACUGUAAAAAAAAAAAAAUAUCUUGAAAUCCACUAUUAAGAGGAACGAAACCAGCCAGCCAGCCAGCCAGCCAGUCAUCCAUUCAUUAGAUCAGCCAGUCACUUAGCAGGUCGGCCAGUCAGGGAGUCAGUCAGCAGUGGUCCCCAACAUUUAGCUUUUAGGGUCAGGAGGGUGAGCAGUGAGAUGUAUGAAUGAACACUGCACAGGGACGCUCAUCUCCCUGCCUACACGUGGCUCUCUAGUGUCCCGAGGCGUGUGGGAAUUGUGGAGGAGGAGGAGGAACAAUAAAGAAGAAAGGGGGAAGGGAGAAAAUAUGUAAAAUUGAGAAGAGAACUCGCAUUAUCUAUUCACAUGGUGAUUGCAGUCUUUCUCUUUAUCCUUCCUACAAUUGCCUGUUCAGUCCUUUUUUUAUUCUCCUACCCACCUUUCUUCACCAUGCAGCCUGUGGCGGGGAGCCUCGUGGUGUGGCUGACGGGCCUCGUGCACGCUGUUGGGGGUUGUGUUGGGGAGUGGCGACUGACAUCCACUGCGAGCUCAAUUGUUGGCUGGGGCGGCGGUGCGCGGCGUGGCGAGGUGAGGCGAGGUGAGGCGAUACCUGCCGAACAUACAUACCAGGUGUUGUGUGUGUGUGUGUGUGUGUGUGUGUGUGUGUGUGUGUGUGUGAGAGAGAGAGAGAGAGAGAGAGAGAGAGAGAGAGAGAGAGAGAGAGAACAGACGUAUACUUAUUUCCAUUAUUUCUGUUCUCUGUCCUCCCUCCUUUCCUCCCCUCCGCGUUUCCGUGUUUUUAUUGUGUUCCCUCGUGCCUGGAAGUUGACGCGUUGCCGUUGCCGUUUCUUUUUUUAUCAUUAUUUUUUUUCUCAUUCUUUCCGAGUCGUUUCCCUCCCCUUUUAGCGUUUGUAAUGGAGUAGUUCAAGCGAGAAAUUUCUAUAUAUAUUUAGAUUAUAAAGAUAUAUGAAAGUACUACUGUCUCAUGACUGCGAAAGGCUGUAUGGAACACUGAAGCAUUUCUGCAGUGUGUUACUGGUGCGUUGUGUGUAUAAAUAAACAUGUGAAGCAAAAUGUGAUAAAUAAAAUGUAAAGCAAA